CCUACGGGAGGCAGCAGUAGGGAAUAUUGGUCAAUGGACGAAAGUCUGAACCAGCCAUGCCGCGUGAAGGAUGAAGGCCCUAUGGGUCGUAAACUUCUUUUAUUAGGGAAGAAACCUUAGGAUGCGUCCUAAGCUGACGGUACCUAAUGAAUAAGGAUCGGCUAACUUCGUGCCAGCAGCCGCGGUAAGACGAAGGAUCCAAGCGUUGUCCGGAUUUACUGGGUUUAAAGGGUGCGUAGGCGGAAAAUUAAGUCAGUGGUGAAAGCCCGCAGCUCAACUGUGGAACUGCCAUUGAAACUGAUUUUCUUGAAUAUAGUUGAGGCAGAUGGAAUAUAACAUGUAGCGGUGAAAUGCUUAGAUAUGUUAUAGAACACCGAUUGCGAAGGCAGUCUGCUAAGCUAUUAUUGACGCUGAGGCACGAAAGCGUGGGGAGCGAACAGGAUUAGAUACCCUGGUAGUCCACGCCCUAAACGUUGAUUACUCNCUGUGUGAUAUACUGUCAGUGGCGUAAGACGAAAGACGUUAAAGUUAAAGUACCACCGUACGGAAGGUAACGGUAACCGGACCGAACGGUUAGGUUAAACGUAACUUAAAUUAAGUAAGUUAGUUACGGCGUGAGACGAGCCGACGGACGACGACGAGGGGAGGAGGAG
rnacentral:rRNA from 1 species